rnacentral:lncRNA from 1 species
GGGCCACCUGCCAUUAGGUCCGCAUGAACCAGAGCAAAUCUCGAAGCAUAUGCACGAUGGAUGGCGCGUAAUCGAAACUUCAGACUCAAGCCCAGCUUCUAAUCGGAUUGGACUUCGGGCUCGAGCUCGGGCCGGGCCUGGGCUAAGCUAAAGGUCUGCCCAAGCCCGGCCCAAAGGAAAAACGAGCCCUAGUUUCCGAUCCGAAC